UACGGGGGGGGCAAGCGUUGUUCGGAAUUACUGGGCGUAAAGGGCUCGUAGGCGGCCAACUAAGUCAGACGUGAAAUCCCUCGGCUUAACCGGGGAACUGCGUCUGAUACUGGAUGGCUAAAGGUUGGGAGAGGGAUGCGGAAUUCCAGGUGUAGCGGUGAAAUGCGUAGAUAUCUGGAGGAACACCGGUGGCGAAGGCGGCAUCCUGGACCAAUUCUGACGCUGAGGAGCGAAAGCGUGGGGAGCAAACAGG
rnacentral:rRNA from 1 species